UGGUGGUGGUGGUGGUGGUGAGGUGGUGGUGGUGGGGACGGGGACGGGGGGGGGGGGGGAGCGGCCGGAUUAUUUUAUUUUAACUUAAAUUAAUGGUUAUUUUUAUUUUAUUUUGCAAACCACUCCUCAAAAUGUGAAACUUGAAGAGCCGGAGAGGGUGUUUUAACCCGGUGGAAAGCGGCGGGGAAGGGAAGGGGGGGAGGUGAGCAGAGGGGGGAGCACACACGUCUCUAUCCGGGGAGCCCCAAGACCCACCCACCCCCCCCCCCCCCCCCGGCACCCUCUUCGGGUGUGAGGGGGGCGCUGGGGGUGGGCACCGGGGGUCCCAGGGGGGUGGGCAGCUCCCGGGCUGCUGCAGCAUGCGCGCACCCGUAAAUCAGGCUAAGAGGGGCUUAGACGGAGCUGUCCUCGCCCUGCCCCUCGUGGGGGGGGGGGGGGGACACGCCACGAGUCACAUAGCCCAAAACGCCACCGGCUGUGUCCGGAGGUGGAGGUGCCCGGGCUGGGGCUGUAGGGUGCCCCCCAACCCCGAUCCCCAUCUCCAUCGCGGCACCUGGGGCAAAGUGGUUUUUUUUUUUUGGGGGGGGGAAAGGAGGGGGACAAUGCAGGGCACGGGGAGGCUUUUUCACCAGUCCUCUUCACGCCCCUGAGCUGCACCCUUGAGCUUGUGCCCCAUUGCACCCCAUUGCACCCCAUUGCACCCCAUUGCACCCCAUUGCAUGCUAUCGCACCCCAUUGUGCCCCAUCGCACCCCGUUGCUCCCCAUAGCACCCCAUUGUGCUCCAUAGCACCCCAUCACACCCCACUGUGCCCCACCGCACCCCAUUGCCCCCAUCGCACCCCAUCGCACCCCACUCACCCCAUUGCGCCCCAUCGCACCCCGCACUCUGAUCCCAGUUUUUGGGGUUCUCCCCCCCGCUCUGUGGCACAGGGACAUCGCACGGCGGGGGGCACGGGGGCUCUGUCCUCAUCACAGCCCCAUGGAAAAAGGGAAUAGGGGGAAAAAAACUCCCUGUUUUCACCCAACGUGGGCUGGGCAGGGGGCCGCAGGGCCAAGACCCCCCCCCCCAAACACCUACAGAGGAGGGCUCAGCACCAUCAUCACCCCCUGCCCCCCAGGACCGUGACCCCCCCCCCCCCCCGCAGGACCCCCAAAGCACAGGCUGCCCCUACAGCAGGGACGGGGGGGGGGGGGGGGGGGGGGACGACACACCGAGACGUGCACUGACCCCUCUUGAACCCCCCCCCACCC